UCUGCCUUAUCCCUAACCCGCUCUCGUCUCCCUCCCUAGGACGCAGCCGCCCACCGAAUCAAAUCCCGUCGUCGGGCUCGUCUGCCUCGCCGUGGCCGAUGAAUGCGUCGGCUGCGGCCACGCCCCCUCUCCAAACGGCGGCGAUGAUGGAGGGAGCAGCUCACGCUGACCAGGCUCCCGACCGAACGCGUCGGGUCAUCUCUCCUCGGGGCCAACCCCUCCUAUUCAUCGCAUCUCUCCCUGACUCCGUCUCCUCCACGAGAUGUAGCACCACCCCACGCCAUGGACGCCCUUGCCGGCUGCAUCUCUCCAUGCGCCGCCACUCCUAUGACACCGCCGCCCGGCAGUCUCCACCAGCACCACGACGGGCGUGGCCUCUGCACGCGCCGUCACCUCCCCUCCAGAUCCGGACGUCGUCGAGGGCAUGUCCAUCCAGCAGUGCGCCGUCACCUCCCCUCCAGAUCCAGCCGUCGUCAAGGGCGUAUCCAUCCAGCAGCGCGCCGUCAUCCCAAUCAUCACCGUCCACGGCGUCAUCGCCCAGGCCCAGUCAGGGGCCGGCAAGACCUCCAUGAUCUCCCUCUUCGUCUGCCAAGUCAUUGAGACCAACGUCCACGAGUGAUUUCCGCAUAGCUUUUGUGUAUGACGGCUGGAGGACCAACUCAGACCUCGCUUGCCCCAGGGUCAGGAGGUCCAAGGCGCCACAACCAACUGCCUCUGCAUCCAUAUGCUGGCAAUUUACUUUGAUUGUUAGUCGUUGACCAUGAGCAAGAAUCUGUCAAUUAAUUUGAUGCUUCAGUUAACUUUUCAGUGUGGUAAUCUACAGCAAUCAAGUUAACAAAUCUGAAGCAUUUUAGCAAGGCAACGGUGCAAGUGCUCUUUUGGUGGAAGAUGAAGCUUUUGUUGGGCUUGUGAUGUUUUUCUGAAGAAGACUGACGAUGAACUCAAAAGACAGAUAACAUGCGGUUGCUACUACGGGAAUACCUGAUGUUGCUUCAUGUCAGUUAUAUCUUCCAAUAUUUACAGAAACUUCCAAAACUGGCACCAGGUCAGGACAUGCUGAUGAUAACCUUCUAGUUUUGCUAAAUCAUAGUUACUUGAGUAAUCUCUACUCCUAAAGUGUUCUUCGAAGGUGCUCAUCAAAUCUGUUGAUACACAACACCGCAGUUAUUGGUGGUUUACACUGGAUAGUUUCCAGACCUUUAUCGCAAGAUGGACGAACUUGGCAUCUCAGCCAGUACUCUGCCUCAUCAACAGUUUGAUGUCCCUUUGCAUGAAGUUAGGCCAGCAUUAGAAUAUCCGUAGCCUUUUUUAGGAGAUGAAGGUGAAGAAUAUUAAGCCGGAUAACCUCACAUGUUUCCUUCUAAUGACCAGCCAUGCGGCAUUGAACAAGAUAGAUGUUGUUGGAGAAGUUUUAGAAGAAAUGCAAGAAAAUGAUGUAGUUCUAGGGUGGUAUGCAUAUAGCAUGGUUUCUAUCUACCUGAGUGCUGGUUUGGUUUUAAAAAACAGUCUGCUCUCAAGAAACUCGAGGGCCUUGAUUUUAGAAGGUAACAUAAAUAUCUAGAUUGAUCGUUCAUGGUUCUGGGGCUCCUUGUUACAGUUCAGGCAAGAGUUUAGUCCAUAAUACUCAAUUUCAUCCUAAAGUGCGUGCCCCCUGACCCGUGGGACGACGGCACGGAGGCAAUCGCAUAACCCAGCGGCAGGGCGUGGCGGCGUUGUGGCCAGUGAGGAGCGCCGUUAGGGCGUGCCCUGAAUCGAGAGGAACAAGUAUGUUCACUUUCUGUUCGCUUUGUGUUUGCUUUCUGUAGUCUCAAAGCAGAGCAAUGGUCACUGCAAAUUUUAUCAGAGAAUGUGCAACAAAAGCACGUUGAGAAGUUCCUGUGAGCCCUAAUUAUUUCUUGAGAAAGCAAACUUAUUGAUCCUUGCUCUAUUUUUUGUGUACUAAGAUUGUUCGUUUGUACCCAGCAUGUGUAUGUGAUGUGCCCUACCGCUGUGUGUGCUUCCUGCUAAUGUGUGUGCUUCCUGACGCUGUUGAGCAUGCGUGUGUGUGUUCGCUGUCGCUGUUUAUUAACAUUGUCAUGCUCUCCUUACUUUUUGCUUAACAAUUCAUGAUCAAUACUGAACAUUAUUUUUUGAAUAGAUGCCACUUGAACUUAGUUUUAGCUCUCAUGUUGGUCAAUAAAUCAUCAAGUAAUGUUUUGCAUGGAUUUUAUAACUGACACAAUGUUUCUGAUUUAAUGAGAGCCAACCAUGCGUUCCUGGCUUCCCCGGCGAUGCCAACAUGGCAGGGCAGGACCCAGUGGCCAUCUUCGGCGCCUUCAUGGACUUCGUCAGCGCCGACCUCUGCUUCAUCAUCUACGGCCACAACCCCUUUGUCGUCGGCAUCAUCUGGCACCUCAGAAUGCAAAUUAAAUGUGUUCAUAGAGUGGGGUGUAAUUGUGAUUUGUGCAAUGGGUUCAGAGUGGAAGGGGUUGUCAUUCUUGUUUAGCAGGGGCUGCAAGUUCUAUCGCUAUAAGCCUGACUUGCAGCGGCAACAACAGAUUCAGAUGUGGUAAGCUCAUUCAUUCAUUCUCUCAGGAGAAGAGGACCAAAUUGAUUCAAAUUUUGUGUUCUGAUCUUAAUGUUGCGAGGUUUGCGAUCGCAUGUAUGGUCGGGACUGCAUGGGUCCGGCGACCAAUUGCUUGCAUCUCUUGCUGUAUGGUGAUGAUGACCGGCUCUUGUUAAAUCCAAUACGACUGCACUUCUUCGCUUCAGGAAGAAGGUAUCCCCCCUAUACGAAGAUUUCUAGCUUGCCUAUGUGUUGAUAAGUGCAUUCGGCCAAACAAUUUGUGGACCAAAUAAACUUGUUGUAGAUACAGAAGAACAAGGCUGCACACAAGGAGUUGCCUGAAUUGCAGUGGCAGCGGUGUUGUAAUAUGUAAGGUGUUGCAUCAACUUGGUCUAUUUUCUAUCCAUAAGUCUAAUGAAUUGGCCCUUGUUUAUCAGGAAUCAAGCUUGUGAAGAAAAUUUUUGUUACUUUAAUGACACACACUUGCAGUAAGUCAUUCAGAGAUAUAUUCAGUACAUGCUAGGUUGCCAAGCUCAGAGCCACGUGUUGUCUCCAUAAAUUCGCUGAAAGCAAAAAUCAUUUGCCCAUAGUCAUGUGAAACCUUCUAGAAUUCUUUUUAGUAUUUUGCAUUGCUUGUGCAUUUCUUUUUUUAUCACUUCUAAUAACCUCAUUGAUUCAUUUUUCCUAUCGUCAUGUCAGUCCUUGCUCUAAAUUUUUUGUUAAUAUGUUGCACUUCUUAUGCAUUUCCAUUUUUAUCACUUCUAAUAAUCUCAUUGACUAUUUACAUCUCACCGUGUUUACCAAGAACACGAGUGAUACUUUUGUUUUAUAAUAAUAAUACAAUAGUGACAAUUUUAUUUUAUUUUAUUUUCUGACAUAGUUCUCAAUUAGGCUUACAAAUAUUUUACAUUGGGAGUAGUUCUGCCAUCAAGCUUAUGUGUAAUGUAUUCCUUAGAAUGGUGUUUCAGCCAUUUCUAUGUAGGCGGCAUGUGUGAUGGCACGUAUUUCAGCCAUAUCGACUUAGGUGGCAUGUGUGCUGGCACAAGAAAAGGAAGGCCCUGAACUGAAAGGAGCAACAUAUAUUAAUGAAAUGCCCUGAAUUGAGAGAGAGAGAGAGAGAGAGAGAGAGAGUUCAAUUUAAUUUGUCUGGUUUAAAUAUUUAUGAGUAAUUUAAUUUGUUUGACCUUGAGUGUUGACUUGCUUUUCAGUUGUCAACAAUGUCCGUUUUGCUGAAUGUACUUGCUUAUCCUUCUACUGGACUACCAUUGGUUCACUGUGUACAUACACUUUCCAAUUCUGUUUGUUUACUAUCUUUUGUUAUUAUUUGUCUUGAUAACUUGAUGCUUUCUUCCUUGGUUGUUUUUGAUUAAACGUUUUUAUCUCUUAUCAUUUUCUGCAUUUUCAGGUCUGCACAACAUUCAUGGAAAUUAUAGUCUUCCAAAAUAUUCCUGGAUCACUUGCAAAAAGGAAUGUUGUGAAGAGUAGCGUUCCAUCAUCUGGGGUCCAACAACCCAGAGGGAGCAUUUCUGGGAGAUUUGCUGUAAACAGCCUUCCUGUUGUCAUUCUCAGAUUCCUCAUGCACAUUUAGGUGUCAGUGGUAGAGUAAUGAAUGUUGGUGGAGGUCAAGCAUUUAGAAGUGGAAUGAAUAUGGGUGGUACCAUUCAAGGUUUAUCCUCAAACUUGGGCACCAGUGGUAAUCGAAAUUAUGUUCCUGGAAACCCAGCUUUGGGUCCACGUAUUACAAACAUUGUGAGCAGAAGUAACAUUGGAAUAAAUAUAAGCUCUGGUGGGUUGUCGGUGCCGAUUAUCUCAUCACACAUCGAUUUUAGGGUCAAUGCUGCAAGUGGAAGACUAAAUGUGCAAGGAUCCAACAGGAUGAUGCAUGGCCUUAUUCUGCAAGGUAUGCCUGAUGGAGCGAUUGGGUUGAUGCUGAUGCUGAUAUACUUCCCUAAGUUGCUCCAAUCGGGAAUGCAGAUAUACUUCCGUGAGUUGCUCCCCAAAACCAAUCCCUUGCUCUUCUUUGCACCAAUGGGACAAGAGAUGCGAGCCAUCCUUUUUACUGGAUGUUCUCUUGAUCGUUUCUUCCUAUGGAUUUUGUGGUUGCCAGAUGUUCUCUCGCUGUGGAUUGGUAAAAAGACUUAACUCUUAAUCAGGGCGCGCGAUUUUGAUGAAGGUUGUAAAACAUUUUCAUUAGGCAUCAAUUUUAUUGCUGGUGCUUGUCUGGCUGUAAAAUCUGCUCAAUAUGUAUAUUUUCCUUUUGUCUGUGUCCCUUUUCCGAUAUAAUACUGAACCUUUUGGAAUA